CAGAGUUGCAAAACUCCCACAAACCAUCGCAAAUCUUACCCGUACGGUUGCCUCGGCGCUGGCGGUCCGGAAGGCCCUCGGGCCCCCCGGAUCCUCGGGUCUCCCGCUCGCGGGAGGCUGCCCGCCGGAGUGCCGAAACCAAACUCUUGAUAUUUUAUGUCUCUCUGAGUAAACUUUUAAAUAAGUCA
rnacentral:misc_RNA from 1 species